rnacentral:misc_RNA from 1 species
CAAAGUCAGCCUGUUGCUCGGCGGAGCUUUUUCCGAUGUUCUACAGUGCAACUAAACUGGAAUCGUGGUUCUACUGGGCUUCUCAUUGUGGUGCAGUCAGAUGUUGACAAGACCAAUCAAAGUUAUUAUGGGGAGUCCAAGCUGAAUUACCUUACAACUGAUGGGACCCAUGAAGGGCUUGUGCCUCUUCGCAAAGAGGGGCCUGUUCAUGACGUUCAGUGGUCAUAUUCUGGUUCAGAGUUUGCUGUUGUUUAUGGAUUCAUGCCGGCAAGUGCGACAUUGUUUGAUAAGAAGUGCAAACCUUUACUGGAGCUUGGCACAGGACCUUACAAUACUGUCAGAUGGAACCCAAAAGGGAAAUUUCUAUGCUUGGCUGGUUUUGGCAAUUUACCUGGUGAUAUGGCAUUUUGGGACUAUGUAAACAAAAAACAACUUGGAACAACUAGGGC